rnacentral:rRNA from 1 species
UGGGCGUUAAGUUGCAGGGUAUAGACCCGAAACCCGGUGAUCUAGCCAUGGGCAGGUUGAAGGUUGGGUAACACUAACUGGAGGACCGAACCGACUAAUGUUGAAAAAUUAGCGGAUGACCUGUGGCUGGGGGUGAAAGGCCAAUCAAACCGGGAGAUAGCUGGUUCUCCCCGAAAGCUAUUUAGGUAGCGCCUCGUGAAUUCAUCUCCGGGGGUAGAGCACUGUUUCGGCUAGGGGGCCAUCCCGGCUUACCAACCCGAUGCAAACUGCGAAUACCGGAGAAUGUUAUCACGGGAGACACACGGCGGGUGCUAACGUCCGUCGUGAAGAGGGAAACAACCCAGACCGCCAGCUAAGGUCCCAAAGUCAUGGUUAAGUGGGAAACGAUGUGGGAAGGCCCAGACAGCCAGGAUGUUGGCUUAGAAGCAGCCAUCAUUUAAAGAAAGCGUAAUAGCUCACUGGUCGAGUCGGCCUGCGCGGAAGAUGUAACGGGGCUAAACCAUGCACCGAAGCUGCGGCAGCGACGCU